UGGGGAAUAUUGCACAAUGGGCGAAAGCCUGAUGCAGCGACGCCGCGUGAGGGAUGACGGCCUUCGGGUUGUAAACCUCUUUCAGUAGGGAAGAAGCCCCUUUUGGGGGUGACGGUACUUGCAGAAGAAGCGCCGGCUAACUACGUGCCAGCAGCCGCGGUAAUACGUAGGGCGCAAGCGUUAUCCGGAAUUAUUGGGCGUAAAGAGCUCGUAGGCGGUUUGUCGCGUCUGCCGUGAAAGUCCGAGGCUCAACCUCGGAUCUGCGGUGGGUACGGGCAGACUAGAGUGAUGUAGGGGAGACUGGAAUUCCUGGUGUAGCGGUGAAAUGCGCAGAUAUCAGGAGGAACACCGAUGGCGAAGGCAGGUCUCUGGGCAUUUACUGACGCUGAGGAGCGAAAGC
rnacentral:rRNA from 1 species